AUGCCUGAGAAAUCAAUUUUAUUAUCAGUUUUACUUCUCCUUAUUAUUAUGCAACAUAACUUUGGUUCAAUGGAAGCAUCAAGGCUGCUAAAUAAUAUUCAUCCACCACCAACUGUACCUCAAAGUCCACAAGCUCCUUCACUUGAUUAUUGGUAUUCCAUAAAUGAUGAUGAUAAGGGUGGUGAUGAUGCUUUCCGUCCAACAAGUCCAGGACAUAGCCCUGGUGUAGGACAUCAAACACCACCACCAUGA